AUUGAACGCUAGCGGCAGGCUUUACACAUGCAAGUCGAACGAGUGGCGGACGGGUGAGUAAUAUAUCGGAACCUGCCCAAUAGCGGGGGAUAACUACUCGAAACGGUAGCUAAUCCCGCAUACCAUCGGAUGUGCCCAUAUGGGAUUAGCUAGUUGGUGGGGUAAAGGCUCACCAAGGCGACGAUCCGUAGCUGGUUUGAGAGGACGACCAGCCACACUGGAACUGAGACACGGUCCAGACUCCUACGGGAGGCAGCAGUGGGGAAUAUUGGACAAUGGGCGAAAGCCUGAUGCAGCCAUGCCGCGUGUAUGAUGAAGGCCUUCGGGUUGUAAAGUACUUUCGGCGGGGAGGCGGUAUCUGCAGAAUAAGCACCGGCUAACUACGUGCCAGCAGCCGCGGUAAUUC
rnacentral:rRNA from 1 species